GUAUUUGUGUUUGCCUUAUUGCAGUGGCCCCACCUACCCCUCCAUCCUGUUAAGGAGGCACAGUCCUGAGGAGGAGGGGGGGAGGAUCCCCUCCCUCAGCCACUGACACACAUACUCUCUCUGCCUCACACACACUCACACACUGCUCUCAGCGAGGGAGCAGUCGCUGAAGAGCUUGGGAUAGACCACACGAGGUUCUGCAGGUGUCCCACCCUUCUCCCCUCACACUGAUGCUUCUGAAGCCACUAUCUGGUGCUUGUUGGGGUUAAAGGCUACAAGCUGGUGAGUGGUGACCUGAGCGAGAGGCCUGGCUGACAUCUGACCUCUAACUGGGUGUGCUGCUGACCCUGGAGGAUACAACUCAACAAUGGGAGGCACGUGCCUUGGUCCUGUUGCCAUGGGAACAUAUGACCGCUCAGAAACGGUGGGGGUGCAGGGUCAAAGCUGGGUCUUUUUUCUGAUCUUUGUUAACCAUCUGCUGCCAUUUGACUGGUAGAUGUUACAUGUACCCGUGUGUGUGUGUGUGUGUGUGAGGUGAACCAAUGGGCUGACUGUGUAAUCUCUGCAGGCAACUGUGAUGCUGAGUUAUAUUCUCACAAUCACCUGGAGAGAUUCUGCAGUUUACCUCAGAAAAACCCACUAAAAAAAAACCAAAAUCAAAAUAAAAAAACAUCUUUCUUUAGAUUAUCGGAACUGCCACAUUAAAGGUUUAUUUUAGAAUAUGAAACUUUUUGAACUUGUUAAUUUAUGCCCACUAUUGGUUCCUUCACUGGUAAAUAUUCCCACCUUUAAUUGUUCUUGACCUCUUACAAAACUCAUAAUUACCAGCAGAGUUAACUUCAUAUUGAGAAAUGUUCCUUUGGUAUUUUUUUUUUACCUUCCAUACCCUAUAUUAUUCACUCUCUACACGUCUGAUCAUGCAGCUUGUUUAAAGAACCAAACUGUUUACCUAAGGUUGGCACCAAAAAAAAAA